rnacentral:sRNA from 1 species
UUUUUUUUUCAGCUCAGAGCUCGGCCAAGACAACAAAAGCAACGAAUGCUCCACAGGCCAUCAUCAUCGAGCCUUCCAGGGAGCUAGCAGAACAGACUCUGUCCCAGAUACAGAAGUUCAAGAAACAUCUUAGUAACCCGGAUGUUCGGGAACUUCUGAUCAUCGGCGGCGUGAAUGUGAAAGAACAAAUGGAUGCCAUGGCCAA